AACUUCAAAUCACGGUGACAUACUUGCAUGGCAUGGCAAUAGCUAACCCCUGAUAUGAGUUGUUGGAAAAAGAACCUUGCCUGAACUAGGAACCAAAGUCAAGAAACCAUGCAAAAAGUGAAAAUAUAAUAUGAAAGUACAGUUAGUAAUAGUAUACUGGAAUGUAAACCUCAUCCUCGCUGAAACGUCCAGCAUUGCAUAUUUUCUCAAAAAGCUCUCCUCCAGAGGCAUAUUCCAUCACAAUGGCCAG
rnacentral:misc_RNA from 1 species